rnacentral:lncRNA from 1 species
AAUUUUACUUUUAUAAUUUAAUAGUUUGAAGUAAUCACUCCGCAUCAACUGUCAGUACUUGACAAAAUUAUUUCACCGCUUAGAUUCCUCGUGUGAAGUCACUAAUCAUAAACUGUUCGACGUUCUGUUUCAGAAAUUCAAUGAUUGUUUCGUUGAAUUUGACGCACGCAUAAAUAGAUUCAGAACAUUCCACGAUAAAUUAAAAUUCGAAGAACACGGCGACAUGAAAUAAGCCUCUCACGUUGAGGCGUCAACGCAUCCUUCUUUUCCUUCUCCGUACAGUAUGUAAAUGUCAUCGAUUACUUUUUUUCUGUUCGCUUUUUUUAGGGCGGAAGAAAACAGCUGAAACAAUGAGGAUUCUUUUUCCAACUUUCCUGCGCUCAGCGAGAAAAUAAGCGUCAGUACUGAAUCAGACUCCGUCCCCUCUCUGUCGAUCGAUAAUAGCAUGAUAUUUAUUUUCAAAAAUAAUAGCAUGAGUUUUAAGACGAUUCGAGAUUGUGACAUGGAGUAGUGAUUAAGUCCGUUGUUGUAGUCUUUGAAGCGUUUUGUGGAUACUAGUUUCACAAGUUGGAUAUUUUGACCCGGUAAAGAUCAUGGAAACGCAUGUGAAAACAGUGCGUAACGGUGCGUAUCUUGUAAUCGCGGCCGUACUUUUGCUCAGUAUCCCCAAGUUGCCUUCGGAUUUAGUGUUUGAAGAAUACAGUUUACCCGAUCCGCCUUCCUUUGAGGGGAAGUUGGCUGUCAACGACGCUCUGAAUGGCGCGACAAGUUGUUCGAAAACGAGGUCCAUGCGCCGGAAUCUCUGGUCGUCUACAACGGCGUGCUGUAUACAGGGCUCGCGGAUGGCCGGGUAGUCGCCGUGAAAAAUGACGAACUCUAUACCAUCGCAAAUCUCGGGCGACCGUGCGAUCAAAUAUGGGAUAAAACGAAAUGCGGUAGGGCGUUGGGCGUCGACAUGGACAAACACGGAAACUUGUUGCCAUUGAUUGUUACCACGGUAUAUACAAAGUGAAUACAACAACAGGUAAAAAUUCUCAUUGAAACCAGCUAGUAAUCCUUAAAUUUUUUUCUUCGUAAAAUAAAUCUAGAUCCAAUACAAGAUAUCAAAAAAAUAUUUGAAUUCUAA